rnacentral:tRNA from 1 species
GCCUGGGUGCUCAGUCGGUUAAGCGUCUGACUUCAACUCAGGUCAUGAUCUUGCCCUCCGUGAGUUCGAGCCCCACAUCGGGCU